rnacentral:rRNA from 1 species
UGAAGAAUAUUGGGCAAUGGGCGAAAGCCUUACCCAGCAAUGCCGCGUGAAUGAAGAAGGUCUUCGGAUUGUAAAGUUCUUUUAUUUGAGAAGAAAAAAAUGACGGUAUCAGAUGAAUAAGCACCGGCUAACUACGUGCCAGCAGCCGCGGUAAUACGUAGGGUGCGAGCGUUGUCCGGAAUGACUGGGCGUAAAGGGUGUGUAGGCGGCCUUAUAAGUUGAAAGUGAAAUCCCUGGGCUUAACCCAGGAGCUGCUUUCAAAACUAUAGGGCUGGAGUGCAGUAGAGAAUAGUGGAAUUCCUAGUGUAGCGGUGGAAUGCGUAGAGAUUAGGAGGAACACCAGUGGCGAAGGCGACUAUUUGGACUGUAACUGACGCUGAGGCACGAAAGUGUGGGGAGCAAACA